GAUGAACGCUGGCAGCGUGCCUAAUACAUGCAAGUCGAGCGAACAGACGAGGAGCUUGCUCCUCUGACGUUAGCGGCGGACGGGUGAGUAACACGUGGAUAACCUACCUAUAAGACUGGGAUAACUUCGGGAAACCGGAGCUAAUACCGGAUAAUAUAUUGAACCGCAUGGUUCAAUAGUGAAAGACGGUUUUGCUGUCACUUAUAGAUGGAUCCGCGCCGCAUUAGCUAGUUGGUAAGGUAACGGCUUACCAAGGCAACGAUGCGUAGCCGACCUGAGAGGGUGAUCGACCACACUGGAACUGAGACACGGUCCAGACUCCUACGGGAGGCAGCAGUAGGGAAUCUUCCGCAAUGGGCGAAAGCCUGACGGAGCAACGCCGCGUGAGUGAUGAAGGUCUUCGGAUCGUAAAACUCUGUUAUUAGGGAAGAACAAAUGUGUAAGUAACUAUGCACGUCUUGACGGUACCUAAUCAGAAAGCCACGGCUAACUACGUG
rnacentral:rRNA from 1 species